rnacentral:rRNA from 1 species
UGGCUGUUCGCCAUUUAAAGUGGUACGCGAGCUGGGUUUAGAACGUCGUGAGACAGUUCGGUCCCUAUCUGCCGUGGGCGCUGGAGAACUGAGGGGGGCUGCUCCUAGUACGAGAGGACCGGAGUGGACGCAUCACUGGUGUUCGGGUUGUCAUGCCAAUGGCACUGCCCGGUAGCUAAAUGCGGAAGAGAUAAGUGCUGAAAGCAUCUAAGCACGAAACUUGCCCCGAGAUGAGUUCUCCCUGAGACUUAGAGUCUCCUGAAGGAACGUUGAAGACGACGACGUUGAUAGGCCGGGUGUGUAAGCGCAGCGAUGCGUUGAGCUAACCGGUACUAAUGAACCGUGAGGCUUAACCUU